AAUUAUUUUCAUGUAUGCGUACAAUAAGCCUUCUUUCCCAGUAAAAGUAAGCUUCUUUUGUUUACUGGUUGUUGGUCCUUUGUUUCUAGUCCCUGCGUAAGAGGAUAAAGUUUGUCAAUUUAAGAGUUUAAGUUCUUCUGUUAGGCCUUUUGACUUGUGAAUAUUUGUUUUAUGCAGUGGUGAAAAUUAAAGCGGCGCGAAUACAAAGGAGAAUAAAAAAAAAAGUUUAUAAAAGAGUGAAUAAACGUGAGCAGUUCUCCUACUAAAUGAGAAUAGGACCUUUAAAAAAAGCAUAAGAACCUUUUGAAGUUUUAUGUGACCUCAAGAGCUUCUCUCUUACUAUUAGAAGAUAAACGAAAGAAUAAAAAAUUGAAAA